GUCCCUUUCGUCCAAUGGUUACGAUAUCGUCUUUUCAUUUCGAAGACACGGGUUUGAUUCCCGUAAGGGAUA
rfam:Amborella trichopoda AMTR_V1.0_contig_5686, whole genome shotgun sequence.